UUGCUACUACUUAUAUUAAUUAACAAUGAAUAACAAAUUCUAACACAAAUUCUAUUUGUUUGCAGGAUUCUAAUGAUAGCUCUUCCGAGGAGGUUGAUUAUCUCCAAAAUAAAUUCAUUGUAUUAUUUAACUUUGAAUAACAAAUUCUAACACUUAUUCUAAUGCUUUGCACUAACUGUAAUGCUUUGCAGGAUUAAAAAGGGAUUUAUAAAUUUGUAAGCUCCAAUCAAUGGAAUUAAUUAAAGAACCCUUAGUUUGAUAUGAAAUCAAAUACUUCCAGUAUUUGACCGAGGAAAUAAUCGGAUGUGUUGGAGCUUACUAAGUCUUGUCAUCCUUCCUAUAAUAAUAAGCCUUUUCAAAAAUAUAUCAUUGUAAAAUAAUUAUUUUUGGUAUGAUGGAAGUUGUUAUUUUCUUAUGUCAAACUAUAAUUCCUCUUUAUAAAGAGGUUUUAGGACAUGUUAUUAUUUAGCUGUAACAAUAGUUACAGAAACAUAAUUAGAACAUUGAAUGAUGUUGUGGAAGUUGUUAUUUUCUUAUGUCAGACUAUAAUUCCUCUUUUUCA